AAGAGGCGAAAGAAUUGGGAGGGCAGCGUCGAGUUGUAGUCCUUCCGCUCUCGACGUUCUAGUGCUGGAGGGCUACAGCACGGGACUACAACCCCCAUGAUGCUCCUUCCUGUCAGGUCGCCGGGAUCGCCGUGGUUGCUAUGGUCACCGGGAAUCGACCAAGGCCUAAGAACCGGAGUGCUGCUCUUGGGGGCGACCUGGCUGGGGAGCCGCCAUGCCUGGGGCCAGUGACACCUUAUGGGAUAUUGCUAAGGCCAAAGUUGAAAAAAAAGAAAAUAAUGAAGGUGAUCGAGAUGGAGUGGAAUGUUGGGAAAGAUCAAUAUUCUUUAUAGGAAAUAAAACUGGGGGAAAGACUACUAUUAUACUGAGGUGUCUUGACAGGGAUGAAAUUCCAAAACCAACAUUAGCUUUGGAAUACACUUUUGGAAGAAGAGCAAAAGGGCACAAUACACCUAAAGACAUUGCUAAUUUUUGGGAACUAGGUGGUGGAACUUCACUUUUGGACUUGAUACCCAUACCAAUAACUAUAACUAACAUAAGGACAUUUGCUGUAGUUCUUGUUUUAGACCUCUCAAAGCCAAACGAACUCUGGCCAACCAUGGAGAGUCUUCUGCAAGUCACUAGGAAGCAUGUAGAGAAAAUAAUAACAAAACUGGGACAAACCAACCCUAAAGCAGCUACAGAAAUGAAACAGAAAAUAUGGAACAUUUUGCCAAAGGAUCAUCCAGAUCGUGAGCUGAUCGACCCAUUUCCAGUUCCACUGGUUAUAAUUGGAAGCAAAUAUGAUUUAUUUCAUGAAUUCGACUCUGAGAUUAAAAAAAUAAUAUACAAGACACUUCGAUUUGUUUCCCAUUAUUAUGGUGCAUCUUUAGUGUUCACCAGUAAGUCUGAAGCUCUGUUGCUGAAGGCACGUGCUGUCAUUAACCACUUAGCAUUUGGUUUUGAUAGAAGCAAAUCCAUGACUGUGGAUCCGAAUAAACCACUCUUCAUCCCUGCAGGCCUGGACUCUCUUGCUCAAAUAGGCCCCCCUCCUGCAACUGAUAGUGACAUUGGCAAAUUGCGUGCACAGUCACCCAUGGAUCUGUGGAAGAAGGUAUUUGAGAAGGCAUUUCCACCAAAGAAUAUUGGUGUUUUUAAGGAAGUCAGGGACCCAAGUCAGGAUCCACAAUAUGCUGAAUAUGAAGUUGAUUUAAUGAGAGCUCAGAAGAACCAGGCUUGCACAACUUGCAACCCACUGAGCUGAAUGCAGUCCACCAGCCAUGUAUGGCAGCCACCCACUGGCUUGUUAAAUAAACCUCCAGUUUCUGCUGCGUGCUCAGAACUGAACUAGAGCAGUACAAAAGGAGUGCCUCUAAAACCUGGAAAGAAAUGGAGUUUGAUUCUUGACCAAGAGAAACAUCUAUAUCUCAGCCAGGUUUCAACUUUGAUGCUGUAUCUAAUACAUUUAAAUUGAUUCAUGGAAGUUUUGUACAGUUAGAAACGUGUCAUAAUAAAAUGGUGCAUCAACUGUG